rnacentral:rRNA from 1 species
UACGUAGGUGGCAAGCGUUGUCCGGAUUUACUGGGCGUAAAGAGCGCGCAGGCGGUCGUGCAAGUCGCGUGUGAAAGCCCCCGGCUCAACUGGGGAGGGUCACGCGAUACUGCUCGACUUGAAGGCAGGAGAGGGAAGUGGAAUUCCCGGUGUAGUGGUGAAAUGCGUAGAUAUCUGGAGGAACACCGGUGGCGAAGGCGGCGUCCUGGACCAACACUGACACUGAUGAGCGAAAGCCAGGGGAGCAAACGGG